GAUGAACGCUGGCGGCGUGCCUAAUACAUGCAAGUCGAGCGAACGGACGAUAAGCUUGCUUCUCUGAUGUUAGCGGCGGACGGGUGAGUAACAUGUGGAUAACCUACCUAUAAGACUGGGAUAACUUCGUGAAACCGUAGCUAAUACCGUGUAAUUGUUUGAACCGCAUGGUUCAAAAGUGAAAGACGGUCUUGCUGUCACUUAGAGAUGGAUCCGCGCUGCAUUAGCUAGUUGGUAAGGUAACGGCUUACCAAGGCAACGAUGCAUAGCCGACCUGAGAGGGUGAUCGGCCACACUGGAACUGAGACACGGUACAGACUCCUACGGGAGGCAGCAGUAGGGAAUCUUCCGCAAAGGGCGAAAGCCUGACGGAGCAACGCCGCGUGAGUGCUGAAGGUCUUCGGAUCGUAAAACUCUGUUAUUAGGGAAGACCAUAUGUGUAAGUAACUGUGCACAUCUUGACGGUACCUAAUCAGAAAGCCACGGCUAACUACGUG
rnacentral:rRNA from 1 species